GCUUGGCUAGCUCAGUCGGUAGAGCAUGAGACUCUUAAUCUUAAGGUUGGGGGUUCGAGCUCUCCGUUGGGCG
rnacentral:tRNA from 1 species